GAUGAAGAACGUAGCGAAAUGCGAUAAGUAGUGUGAAUUGCAGAAUUCAGUGAAUCAUCGAAUCUUCGAACGCACAUUGCGCCCCAUGGUAUUCCGUGGGGCAUGCCUGUUCGAGCGUCAUUUACCCCCUCAAGCUCCGCUUGGUGUUGGGCGUCUGUCCCGCUUCGCGCGCGGACUCGCCCCAAAGGUAUUGGCAGCGGUCGUGCCAGCUUCUCGCGCAGCACAUUGCGCUUCUCGAGGCACCGGUGGGCCCGCGUCCAUCAAGCUCACCCCCCCAGUUUGACCUCGGAUCAGGUAGGGAUACCCGCUGAACUUAAGCAUAUCAAUAAGCGGAGGA
rnacentral:misc_RNA from 1 species